GCCUGGGUGGCUCAGUCGGUUGGGCAUCUGACUUCAGCUCAGGUCAUGAUCUCACGGUUUGUGAGUUCGAGCCCCGCAUCGGGCU
rnacentral:tRNA from 1 species